AGUGAACGCUGGCGGUAGGCCUAACACAUGCAAGUCGAACGGCAGCACAGGAGAGCUUGCUCUCUGGGUGGCGAGUGGCGGACGGGUGAGGAAUACAUCGGAAUCUACCUUUUCGUGGGGGAUAACGUAGGGAAACUUACGCUAAUACCGCAUACGACCUUCGGGUGAAAGUGGGGCUCGCCAGACCUCCCGCGGAUAGAUGAGCCGAUGUCGCAUUAGCCGGUUGACGGGGUAAAGGCCCACCAAGGCGACGAUCCGUAGCUGGUCGGAGAGGAUGAUCAGCCACACUGGAACUGAGACACGGUCCAGACUCCUACGGGAGGCAGCAGUGGGGAAUAUUGGACAAUGGGCGCAAGCCUGAUCCAGCCAUACCGCGUGGGUGAAGAAGGCCUUCGGGCUGUAAAGCCCUUUUGUUGGGAAAGAAAUCCUUUCGGUUAAUACCCGGAGGGGAUGACGGUACCCAAAGAAUAAGCACCGGCUAACUUCGUGCCAGCCGCCGCGGUAACAC
rnacentral:rRNA from 1 species